ACGCUGGCGGCGUGCUUAACACAUGCAAGUCGAACGAUGAACCUCCUUCGGGAGGGGAUUAGUGGCGAACGGGUGAGUAACACGUGGGCAAUCUGCCCUUCACUCUGGGACAAGCCCUGGAAACGGGGUCUAAUACCGGAUAACACUGCGGAUCGCAUGGUCUGCGGUUAAAAGCUCCGGCGGUGAAGGAUGAGCCCGCGGCCUAUCAGCUUGUUGGUGGGGUGAUGGCCUACCAAGGCGACGACGGGUAGCCGGCCUGAGAGGGCGACCGGCCACACUGGGACUGAGACACGGCCCAGACUCCUACGGGAGGCAGCAGUGGGGAAUAUUGCACAAUGGGCGAAAGCCUGAUGCAGCGACGCCGCGUGAGGGAUGACGGCCUUCGGGUUGUAAACCUCUUUCAGCAGGGAAGAAGCGAAAGUGACGGUACCUGCAGAAGAAGCGCCGGCUAACUACGUGCCAGCAGCCGCGGUAAUACGUAGGGCGCAAGCGUUGUCCGGAAUUAUUGGGCGUAAAGAGCUCGUAGGCGGCUUGUCACGUCGGAUGUGAAAGCCCGGGGCUUAACCCCGGGUCUGCAUUCGAUACGGGCAGGCUAGAGUG
rnacentral:rRNA from 1 species